UCUGGCUGGUGGCACUCGAGAGGUUGAGGUCCCACUGUUAGAAUGUGAGAAGUGGAGGUGUUACUGAUGGAAGGCGCGACAUGGAGGUCAUUCCGGUGUCACGCGAGACGUCAAAGUCCUUCCUGUGGCACGAGAGACAUGAGGUCCUUCUGGGUGGCAGAAUGUGAUUUCUGCACAAAAAUGCGUGAAGCUAAGCCUUAUCUAUCUGCUUGUAUAUGCACACACAAGUAUAUAAACCUACAGACGAGUAAGAAAAGUCUCAGACAAAACCAUAUUGCUUUGCUGUUCGUUUUUAAUAGACACUUUAAAAAUAAAACAAACUAUAUCAAGUAUCACCAAAGGAAACAUAGGUGCUCCUUAGGAAAAGAGUGAAAAUAGAGGAUGGGAAUGCUGUAUCUGGAUAGGGGGGUA